GGCGAACGCUGGCGGCGUGCCUAAUACAUGCAAGUAGAACGCUGAAGGAGGAGCUUGCUUCUCUGGAUGAGUUGCGAACGGGUGAGUAACGCGUAGGUAACCUGCCUUGUAGCGGGGGAUAACUAUUGGAAACGAUAGCUAAUACCGCAUAAGAGUAGAUGUUGCAUGACAUUUACUUAAAAGGUGCAAUUGCAUCACUACCAGAUGGACCUGCGUUGUAUUAGCUAGUUGGUGAGGUAACGGCUCACCAAGGCAACGAUACAUAGCCGACCUGAGAGGGUGAUCGGCCAAACUGGGCCUGAGACACGGCCCAGACUCCUACGGGAGGCAGCAGUAGGGAAUCUUCGGCAAUGGACGGAAGUCUGACCGAGCAACGCCGCGUGAGUGAAGAAGGGUGUCGGAUCGUAAAGCUCUGUUGUAAGAGAAGAACGAGUGUGAGAGUGGAAAGUUCACAAUGUGACGGUAGCUUACCAGAAAGGGACGGCUAACUACGUG
rnacentral:rRNA from 1 species